UAUUAUUAAAACAAAAUAAGUAGUUUGCUUUUGUUCGCUUUGACAACAUAGUAUGUAGUGUAAACAGCACAACAUUAACUGAAAGUUCUUUUGGGAGCUUUCUUUGUGUUGACAGUUUAAUGCCUGAAGUAGAGUGCUGGGAAAUGUAAUGCUCCGUUUUGUUUGUUUUUUAAUUUAAGGCACAUGAUAAACUUAAAUCACCAGAUGUUACCUACAGUUUUCCAGGAGAUUCAAGAGAAGUUGUAAAAGUUAAAGAAUCCACUGGGGGAGCUGAUGAUUCUGAAGAAACUCCAAAAUUUCCAUUAGAGGGAUCUCGGAAGUCUGCGAAGGAGGACUUCAAACCAGUACGCCCAUUACAAAAAGGAACAGAGAGCUUACCUCAGCCAUCUGGUACCAAAGGGAAGGAAGACAGUAAGAAAAGGUCAGCUGGAAAAUGUUCAGAAAAUGCAGCGCAAAAAGCUGGGAUGAAAGGACCUGUAAGUGUAAAACAAACAAACAAGAAAACAGAGAACUAGAAUGCAAAAAGCCAGGAUUACAUUUAGAAUAUGUAUUUAAGCCAGGAUUACAUUUAAAUAUAUUUUUUCUAUUAUUGUAAUCAUGUGGUUUUGGUUUGGUGUGUUUCGGGUUUUUUUUAUUUUUAAACCAGCAUGCAAACACUGUUUUAUGGUAUUCACCAGUUUAAUUUGCAGAAAGUUCAGAUCAUCAUUCUAGUUUUAGAAUAGAUUGCAGCAUUCAGCCUUUGUCCUGGCAUAAUUUCUUAGUAGACAGCUCUGCCUUGAAACUUCAACUUGGAUUUUUUUUUCAGCUCGUAAUUUUGGAGGCAAAUAUGAUGCAAAUGCUUUUAUCUCACAUAACAUUCAUACCAGAAAUUAAUUUCAAAAUGUAUUUUAAAAAAAUAAUUCCAGAAUUUAUCAGAACUUGACAAACAGGAGCUGAAACAACGAGAGGACUACCUAAAGAAAAAACGAGACAUGCUGAUGGCCACGAAGAAAGAGUCAAGAAAUAACGUACCACUACCCACAAAGACUGACCAGAAAGAAGAGGAAUCGUCUCCUAAAGAGGUGAGGGAUUCAAAUAUUUUAAUCACCCUGACCAUUUUAUAAAAAGCACAGAUGAUGUCAGUGAAGAUGUCAAUAUUGCUGUGGAAUAUUGUAGGAAGAUAAAAAAAAAAUAGUAGUGAGGGAAAGAGGAAGCAUUUUCAAGUUGCUGUUUUUCUAGAAGCUCAUAGGCUAGACAUUUUAGUAAUUAAGAGCA
rnacentral:lncRNA from 1 species